UCACGACGAGUCCUAGAUUGGGCAUAGGUGACUUAAGUACAUAGCUAGCUACUUUUCUUACAAAGGCACUGGUUCCCUCGGUCCCGGUCACUGGCUCGGCUAUCUGCUACUCA
rnacentral:miRNA from 1 species